rnacentral:lncRNA from 10 species
CAACAGGUGCCUAGGCCCGCUGUGCAAUAACAGACCAGUUACACUGAGGAAGCAGGGUUAUCAGCAGAAAAAGGGUUUAAAGAUGGCAGGGUGCCUAGGAGGAGACGCAGGGAGACCAACAAAUCCAUCUUCCCCAAGGAGUUCCGGGCUGGGAUUUUAAAGGGCAUUGUGAAGGGUGAGGGGCUGGAAAAUUGGGGUCAUCGACUGGUCAGGGUAAGGGGGUUGAAAUCCUCAGGAUAUGGAAACUGCAGUCCCCAUUGAGUCUUGCUUCUGUGGGCUCCUUCAGAACAACUGGUGUCAGUAAUUAUGCUGGUAUGCGGGACCUGAAAGAAUAUCUCCAAGGGAAAACGUUUCAUAAUGUUCAAGUUGUUAUCUAUGGAGUUAAGGGGAAUUGUAAUCUUGUGACAGGGUCUACGUGAUUCUAGGACAGACGAUGGGCACCUAUCAUAGCUGAUACACAGAGCUAUGAGCAAGCAGGUCGGAGAGCAAGGUGACCUAGUGAUGAACGCAGAGUGUGCUGCAAGCUUCGUUUAUUUUCGUUUUUCCCCCUCCCUUCUUCCCUGAUUAAUUUCCUAAAGUUUAUAGGAGCAGUUUCAGUACCAGCCCGAGUAGGA